GACUGGAGAUCAGAAGUGCUUCCCAAGCUGUAUGUGAAACUACAUUACUCUGUGAGUUGUGCCAUUCACAACAAGGUAGUCAGGAAUCGCUCUCACGAAGCACGGAAGGACCGAACACCAGCACCCCAAUUUAGAUCUGCUGCUGCUGCCCCACAACCUCCAUCAAAGCCCAUGUAAAGAGCUAAGUCCUUAAGGACUGAAGAAAAACUGUUUUCUGUUAAAAAAAAAAAAAUAAGACGGAGAUUAUACUU